rnacentral:rRNA from 1 species
UCGAGAAUCUUCCACAAUGGACGAAAGUCUGAUGGAGCGACACAGCGUGGUCGAUGAAGUGCUUAGGCAUGUAAAGACCUUUUAUGAGUGAAGAAGUUUUGACAUUAACUCAUGAAUAAGGGGCUCCAAACUCUGUGCCAGCAGGAGCGGUAAUACAGAGGCCCCGAGCGUUAUCCGGAAUCAUUGGGCGUAAAGGAUUUGUAGGUGGCUUGAUUAGUCUCUUGUUAAAGCACCGGGCUCAACCCGGGACAGGCAAGGGAAACGGUCAGGCUAGAGGAUGGCAGAGGUGUGUGGAACUAAAGGUGUAGGGGUGAAAUCCGUUGAUAUCUUUGGGAACACCAAAAGCGAAGGCAGCACACUGGGCCAUUCCUGACACUGAAAAAUGAAACCCAGGGUAGCGAAGAGGAUUAGAUACCCCCGUAGUCCCUGAGCGGGCUGGCAAGGCGCAU